UAACAUAUAUCAUUUAAUUUUUGGCUCUACCACAUGAUUGUUGGAAAUAUGCCCUAGAGGCAAUAAUAAAUUGGUUAUUAUUAUAUUUCCUUGUUCAUGAUAAUCGUUUAUUAUCCAUGCUAGAAUUGUAUUGAUAGGAAACUCAGAUACAUGUGUGGAUACAUAGACAACACCAUGUCCCUAGUAAGCCUCUAGUUGACUAGCUCGUUGAUCAAUAGAUGGUUACGGUUUCCUGACCAUGGACAUUGGAUGUCGUUGAUAACGGGAUCACAUCAUUAGGAGAAUGAUGUGAUGGACAAGACCCAAUCCUCAGCCUAGCACAAAGAUCGUGUAGUUCGUAUGCUAAAGCUUUUUUAAUGUCAAGUAUCAUUUCCUUAGACCAUGAUAUUGUGCAACUCCCGGAUACCGUAGGAGUGCUUUGGGUGUGCCAAACGUCACAACAUAACUGGGUGGCUAUAAAGGUACACCACAGGUAUCUCCGAAAGUAUCUGUUGGGUUGGCACGAAUCGAGACUGGGAUUUGUCACUCCGUGUAAACAGAGAGGUAUCUCUGGGCCCACUCGGUAGGACAUCAUCAUAAUGUGCACAAUGUGAUCAAGGAGUUGAUCACGGGAUGAUGUGUUACGGAACGAGUAAAGAGACUUGCCGGUAACGAGAUUGAACAAGGUAUCGGGACACCGACGAUCGAAUCUCGGGCAAGUAUCGUACCGCUAGACAAAGGGAAUUGAAUACGACAUUGAUUGAAUCCUCGACAUCGUGGUUCAUCCGAUGAGAUCAUCAUGGAGCAUGUGGGAGCCAACAUGGGUAUCCAGCUCCCGCUGUUGGUUAUUGACCAGAGAGUUUUCUCGGUCAUGUCUGCAUGACUCCCGAACCCGUAGGGUCUACACACUUAAGGUUCGAUGACUCUAGGGUUAUAGGGAAUAGAUAUACGUGGUUACCGAAUGUUGUUCGGAGUCCCGUAUGAGAUCCCGGACGUCACGAGGAGUUCCGGAAUAGUCUGGAGGUAAAGAUUUAUAUAUGGGAAGUCCUGUUUUGGUCACCGGGAAAGUUUCGGGUGCUAUCGGUAACGUACCGGGACCACCGGGAGGGUCCCGGGGGUCCACCAGGUGGGGCUACCUGCCCCAGAGGGUUGCGUGGGCCAAGUGUGAGAGGGGACCAGCCCCAGGUGGGCUGGUGCGCCCCCCACUAGGGCCCAAGGCGAAGAGAGAAGGAAAAAGGGGGAAACCCUAGGCUCAGAUGGGCCUAAGGCCCACCUAGUGGUGCGCCCCCCUCUCUCCCCCCUUGGCCGCCCCCCUAGAAGGUAUCUAGGGCUGGCCGCCACCCCUAGGGGUGGAAACCUAGGUGUGGGCGCAGCCCCUCCCUUUCCCCUAUAUAUAGUGGGGUUUUGGGCUGCCAUACACACGAGAACAUCUCCUUCUUGGCGCAGCCCUACCCCUCUCCCUCCUCGUCUCUUGCGGUGCUUGGCGAAGCCCUGCUGCAGUACCACGCUCCUCCACCACCACCCCGCCGUCGUGCUGCUGCUGGAUGGAGUCUUCCCCAACCUCUCCUUCUCCCCUUGCUGGAUCAAGGCGUAGGAGACGUCACCGGGCUGUAUGUGUGUUGAACACGGAGGUGCCGUCCGUUCGGCACUAGGAUCAUCGGUGAUUUGGAUCACGACGAGUACGAUGCACUCUCCUUCCCCUCAUUGCUAGAUUACUCCAUAGAUUGAUCUUGGUGAUGAGUAGAAAAUUUUGAAUUUCUGCUACGAUCCCCAACAGUGGCAUCAUGAGCUAGGUCUAUGCGUAGUUUCUAUGCAUGAGUAGAACACAAGUUGUUCUGGGCGUUGAUUUUGUGAAUUUGCUUGCCAUUACUAGUCUUAUCUUGAUUCGGCGGCAUCGUGGGAUGAAGCAGCCCGGACCAACCUUACACAUACUCUUACGUGAGACUGGUUCCACCGACUGACAUGCACUAGUUGCAUAAGGUGGCUAGCGGGUGUCUGUCUCUCCCACUUUAGUCGGAUCGGAUUCGAUGAAAAGGGUCCUUAUGAAGGGUAAAUAGAAAUUGGCAUAUCACGUUGUGGUUUUCGCGUAGGUAAGAAACGUUCUUGCUAGAAACCUAUAGCAGCCACGUAAAAACUUGCAACAACAAUUAGAGGACGUCUAACUUGUUUUUGCAGCAUAUGCCUUGUGAUGUGAUAUGGCCAAAAGGAUGUGAUGAAUGAUAUAUGUGAUGUAUGAGAUUGAUCAUGUUCUUGUAAUAGGAAUCACGACUUGCAUGUCGAUGAGUAUGACAACCGGCAGGAGCCGUAAGAGUUGUCUUUAUUUAUUUAUGACCUGCGUGUCAACAUAAACGUCAUGUAAUUACUUUACUUUAUUGCUAAAGCGUUAGCCAUAGUAGUAGAAGUAAUAGAUGACGAGACAACUUCAAGAAGACACGAUGAUGGAGAUCAUGAUGAUGGAGAUCAUGGUGUCAUGCCGGUGACAACGAUGAUCAUGGAGCCCCGAAGAUGGAGAUCAAAAGGAGCAAAAUGAUAUUGGCCAUAUCAUGUCACUAUUUGAUUGCAUGUGAUGUUUAUCAUGUUUUACAUCUUAUUUGCUUAGAACGACGGUAGCUUAAAUAAUAUGAUCCCUUACUAAAAUUUCAAGAGAAGUGUUCCCCCUAACUAUGCACCGUUGCGAAGGUUCGUCGUUUCGAAGCACCACGUGAUGAUCGGGUGUGAUAGAUUCUAACGUUCGAAUACAACGGGUGUAAGCCUGAUUUACACAGCAAAAACACUUAGGUUGAAUUGACGAGCCUGGCAUGUACAGACAUGGCCUCGGAACACGGAAGACCGAAAGGUCGAGCAUGAGUCGUAUAGAAGAUACGAUCAACAUGAAGAUGUUCACCGAUGUUGACUAGUCCGUCUCACGUGAUGAUCAGACACGGCCUAGUUGACUCAGAUCAUGUUUCACUUAGAUGACUAGAGGGAUGUCUAUCUGAGUGGGAGUUCAUUAAAUGAACUCAAUUAUCAUGAACAUAGUCUAAAUUGUCUUUGCAAAUAUGUUGUAGAUAAAUAGCUCACAUUGUAGCUCCCUGUUUCAAUAUGUUCCUAGAGAAAGACCAAGUUGAAAGAUAUUGUAAGCAAUGAUGUGGACUAGGUCCGUAGUCCGAGGAGUGUCCUCACUGCUACACAGAAGGCUUACGUCUUUGAUGCACCGCUUGAUGUGUAAACCCCUACAACGUCAUCUGUGGAUGUUGUGAACACCUAACAGACACAUCCUGAUGACUACUUGAUAGUUUAGUGCACCAUACUUUACGGCUUAGAAUCGGGAUUCCAAUGACGUUUUGAACGCCACAGAACAUAUGAGAUGUUCCAAGAGCUGAAAUUGGGAUUUCAGGCUCAUGCCCAUGUUGAGAGGUGUGAGACCUCUGACAAGUUCUUUUGCCAACAAGAUGGAGGAGAAUAGCUCAGCUAGUGAGCAUGUGCUCAGAAUGUCUGGGUGCUAUAAUCACUUAAAUCAAGUGGGAGUUAAACUUCCAGAUAAGAUAGUGAUUGAUAGAGUUCUCUAGCCACUAUCACUAAGCUACUAGACCUUCGUGAUGAACUAUGACAUGCAAGGGAUGGAGUUGAUCCCGGAGCUGUUCGCGGUGUUUAAGACCGCAAAAGGUAGAAAUCAAGAAGGAGCAUCAAGUGUUGAUGGUUUAAUAAGACCACUGGUUUCAAGAAGGGUAAGGGCUAGAAGGGAAACUUCAUGGAUGGCAAACCAGUUGCCGCUCCAGUAAAGGAACCCAAGGUUGAACCCAAACCCGAGACUAAGUGCUUCUAUUGUAAAGGGGACGGUCACUGGUAGCGGAAUUACCCCAAAUGCAUGGUAGAUAAGAAGGCUGGCAACUUCAACAAAGUAUAUACGUGUUAUUAAUGUGUACCUCGCUAGUACUCCUGGUAGCACCUGGGUAUUGGAUACCGGUUCAGUUGCUAUUACUGGUGACUUGAAGCAAAAGCUACGGACUAAACGGAGACUGGCUAAGGGCGAGGUGACGAUGUGUGUUGGAAGUAUUUCCAAAGUUGAUGAGAUCACCAUCGCACGCUCCAUCUGCCUUCGGGAUUGGUAUUGAACCUAGAUAAAUGUUAUCAGGUGUCUACGUUGAGCAUGAAUAUGAUUAGAUCAUGUUCAUUGCAAUACGGUCAUUCAUUUAAGUUAGAUAAUAAUGGUUAUUCUGUUUACAUGAAUGAUACCUUUCAUGGUCAUGCACCCUAUGUGAAUGGUUCAUUGAAUCUCGGUCGUGGUAAUACACAUGUUCACGCCAAAAGAUGUAGAGUUAAUAAUGAUAGUACCACUUUCUCGUGGCACUGCCGCUUAAGUCAUAUUGGCGUAAGAUGCAUGAAGAAACUCCAUGUCGAUGGAUGUUUGGAGUCACUUGAUUUUGAAUCGCUUGACACAUGCGAGCCAUGCCUCAUGGGUAGGAUGACUAAGACCCCGUUUUCAGGUACAAUGAAACGGGCAAGUGACUUGUUGGAGAUCAUGCAUGCUGAUGCGUGUGAUCCAAUGAGAAUUGAAGCAUGCAGUGGAUAUCGCUAUUUUCUCAUCUUCACUGACGAUUUGAGUAGAUAUAGGUAUAUCUACUUAAUGAAGCACAAGUCUGAAAUGUUUGAAAAGUUCAAGCGAUUUCAGAGUGAAGUUAAGAAUCAUCAUAACAAUAAGAUCAUGUUCCUACGAUCUGAUCAAAAGGGGAUUUUCUGAGUUAUGAGUUUGGCAAUCACUUAAGACAUUGUGGAAUUGUUUCACAGUUGAAGCCACCUGGAACACCACAAGGUAAUGGUGUAUCCGGACGUCGUAAUCGAACACUAUGAGAUAUGGUGCGAUCUAUGAUGUCUCUUACCAAUCUACCAUUUUCAUUUUGUGGUUAUGCGUUAGAGACAACUGCAUUCACUUUAGAUAGGACACCAUCUAAGUCCGUUGAGACGACGUCGUAUGAACAUUGGUUUGUCAAGAAACCAAAGUUGUCGUUUCUUAAUGUUUUGGGCUGCGAUGCUUAAGGCUUCAACCAGAGAAGCUCGAACCCAAAGCAGACAAACACAUCUUCAUAGGAUACCCAAAGGUGACAGUAGGGUAUACCUUCUAUCUCAGAUCCGAGGGCAAAUUGUUUGUCACUAAGAGCGGGUCCUUUCUCGAGAAGGAGUUUCUCUCGAAAGAAUUGAGUGGGAGGAAGAUAGAACUUGAUGAGGUUGUCGAACCUUUAUUUCAACUAGAGGGUGAUGCAACACAGAAAGAUGUUUUCUGUGGAGCCUACGUCUGUUGAAUAGGAAGUUAAUGAUAGUGAUCAUGAAGCUUCGAAUCAAGUUGCUAUCGAACCUCGUAGGUCGACAAGGAUAUGUACUACUCCUAAGUGGUACGGUAAUCCUGUCUUAGAUAUCAUGUUGUUAGACAACAAUGAACCUACGAGCUAUGGAGAAACGAUGGUGGGCCCGUAUUCUAACAAAUGGUUAGAAACCAUGAAAUCCGAGAUAGGAUCCAUGUAUGGACUUUGGUGGACUUGCCCGUUGAUCGGCAAGCCAUCGAGAUAAAUGGAUCUUUGAGAAGAAGACGGACGUGGGCGGUAAUGUUACCUUCUAUGAAGCUCGACUUGUGGGAAAGAGUCUUUUCACAAGUUCAAGGAGUUGACUACGAUGAGAAUUUCUCACCCGUAGCGAUGCUUAAGUCCGUCGGAAUCAUGUUAGCAUUAGCUGUGUUUUUCGAUUAUGAAAUCUGACAAAUGGAUGUCAAAACAAGUUUUCUUACCAGUUUUCGUAAGAAAAAGUUGUAUGUGAUACAAUAAAAGGUUUUGUCGAUCCUAAGAUGCUAAAAGGCAUGCUGGCUCUAGCGAUCCUUCUAUGGACUAGAGCAAGCAUCUCAGAAUCGGAAUAUAUGCUUUGAUGGAGUGAUCAAAGCUUUUAGGUUUAUACAAUGUUUGCUAGAAACUUGUAUUUACAAGAAAGUGAGUGGGAGCACUAUACUAUUUCUGAUAAGUAUAUGUGGAGGAAAUAUUGUUGAUCUGAAAUAAUGUAGAAUUUCUGGAAAGCAUAAACGGUUGUUUGAAGAGUGAUUUUCAAAGGAAGACCUGGAUAAAGCUGCUUACAUAUUGGGCAUCAAGAUCUAUAGAAAUAGAUCAAGACGCCUGAUGAUACUUUCAAAGAAUGCACACCUUGACAUGUUUUUGAAAGAGUUCAAAAUAGAUCAGUCAAAGAAGGGGUUCUCACCUGAGUUGUAAGGUGUGAAGUUGAGUAAGACUCAAAGAUUGACCACAGCACAAGAAAGAGGAAGGACGAAGGUCAUCCCCUAUGCUCUUGUCAUAGGCUCUAUACGGUAUGCCAUGCUGAGUACCGCACCUCAUGUGUGCCUUGCCACAAGUCUGGCAAGAGGAUACAAAGGUGAUCUAGGAGUAGAUCACCAGAUAGCGGUCAAAAUUAUCCUUAGAGGAAUAAGGAAAUGUUUCUCGGUUAUGGAGGUGAUAAAGAGUUCGACAUGAAGAGUUACGUAGAUGCAAGCUUAACACCUAUCCGGAUAGCUCUGAGUAGAGAUACCGAAUACGUAUAAUGGAGCAACAAUUUGGAAUAGCUCCAAGUGGAACGUCGCAGCAGCAUCUAUGAUAUGACAUAAAGUUUUGCGAAAUACAUAGGGAUCUGAAUAUGGCAAGACCCGUUGACUACAACCUCUCUCACAAGCAUAACAUGAUCAAACCCAGAACUCUUUGAGUGUUAAUCACACAGUGACGUGAACUAGAUCAUUGAGUUUAGUAGACUCUUGGAUGUUGGUCACAUGGCGAUGUGACCUGUGAGUGUUAAUCACAUGGCGAUGUGAACUAGAUAAUUGACUCUACUGAAAGUGGGAGACUGUUGGAAAUAUGCCCUAGAGGCAAUAAUUGGUUAUUAUUAUAUUUCCUUGUUCAUGAUAAUCGUUUAUUAUCCAUGCUAGAAUUGUAUUGAUAGGAAACUCAGAUACAUGUGUGGAUACAUAGACAACACCAUGUCCCUAGUAAGCCUCUAGUUGACUAGCUCGUUGAUCAAUAGAUGGUUAGGGUUUCCUGACCAUGGACAUUGGAUGUCGUUGAUAAUGGGAUCACAUCAUUAGGAGAAUGAUGUGAUGGACAAGACCCAAUCCUAAGCCUAGCACAAAGAUCGUGUAGUUCGUAUGCUAAAGCUUUUCUAAUGUCAAGUAUCAUUUCCUUAGACCAUGAGAUUGUGCAACUCCCGGAUACCGUAGGAGUGCUUUGGGUGUGCCAAACGUCACAACGUAACUGGGUGGCUAUAAAGGUACACUACAGGUAUCUCCGAAAGUAUCUAUUGGGUUGGCACGAAUUGAGACUGGGAUUUGUCACUCCGUGUAAAUGGAGAGGUAUCUCUGGGCCCACUCGGUAGGACAUCAUCAUAAUAUGCACAAUGUGAUCAAGGAGUUGAUCACGGGAUGAUGUGUUAUGGAACGAGUAAAGAGACUUGCCGGUAACGAGAUUGAACAAGGUAUCGGGAUACCGACGAUCGAAUCUCGGGCAAGUAUCGUACCGCUAGACAAAGGGAAUUGAAUACGAGAUUGAUUGAAUCCUCGACAUCGUGGUUCAUCCGAUGAGAUCAUCGUGGAGCAUGUGGGAGCCAACAUGGGUAUCCAGAUCCCACUGUUGGUUAUUGACCGGAGAGUUGUCUCGGUCAUGUCUACAUGACUCCCGAACCCGUAGGAUCUACACACUUAAGGUUCGAUGACGCUAGGGUUAUAGGGAAUAGAUAUACGUGGUUACCGAAUGUUGUUCGGAGUCUCGGAUGAGAUCCCGGACGUCACGAGGAGUUCCGGAAUGGUCCGGAGGUAAAGAUUUAUAUAUGGGAAGUCCUGUUUUGGUCACCGGGAAAGUUUCGGGUGCUAUCGGUAACGUACCGGGACCACCGGGAGGGUCCCGGGGGUCCACCAGGUGGGGCUACCUGCCCCAGAGGGUUGCGUGGGCCAAGUGUGAGAGGGGACCAGCCCCAGGUGGGCUGGUGCGCCCCCCACCAGGGCCCAAGGCGAAGAGAGAAGGGAAAAGGGGGAAACCCUAGGCUCAGAUGGGCCUAAGGCCCACCUAGUGAUGCGCCCCCCUCUCUCCCCCUUGGCCGCCCCCCAUAGAUGGGAUCUAGGUCUGGCCGCCACCCCUAGGGGUGGAAACCUAGGUGGGGGCGCAGCCCCUCCCUUUCCCCUAUAUAUAGUGGGGUUUUGGGCUGCCAUACACACGAGAACAUCUCCUUCUUGGCGCAGCCCUACCCCUCUCCCUCCUCGUCUCUUGUGGUGCUUGGCGAAGCCCUGGUGGAGUACCACGCUCCUCCACCACCACCACGCCGCCGUGCUGCUGCUGGAUGGAGUCUUUCCCAAUCUCUCCUUCUCCCCUUGCUGGAUCAAGGCGUAGGAGACUUCACCAGGCUGUACGUGUGUUGAACACGGAGGUGCCGUCCGUUCGGCACUAGGAUCAUCGGUGAUUUGGAUCACGACGAGUACGACUCCAUCAACCGCGUUCACUUGAACGCUUCCGCUUAGCGAUCUACAAGGGUAUGUAGAUGCACUCUCCUUCCCCUCGUUGCUAGAUUACUCCAUAGAUUGAUCUUGGUGAUGCGUAGAAAAUUUUGAAUUUCUGCUACGAUCCCCAACAAUGAUUUCAUACUAAUAUCUGGUUGUAAGCAUCUUUUAAUUAAAACAUGUGUUUUUCGGUCUCCUUUGAUAUUGAUAUAAGAUUUAUUGCCAUCAGUUUACUUGGCACAAACAAAAUAGUUCUCAAUUUUUUGCACAGUAGUAUACAAUCAUGUGGCAAUCAACAAAACGAGGC
rnacentral:lncRNA from 1 species